CUAUAAUGCAGUUGAGCGCUGAAGAUUGGUACUUGUACCGAUUGGAUGAGCAGCGAACGGGUGAGUAACGCGUGGGGAAUCUGCCUUUGAGCGGGGGACAACAUUUGGAAACGAAUGCUAAUACCGCAUAAUAGCUUUAAACAUAAGUUUUAAGUUUGAAAGAUGCAAUUGCAUCACUCAAAGAUGAUCCCGCGUUGUAUUAGCUAGUUGGUGAGGUAAAGGCUCACCAAGGCGAUGAUACAUAGCCGACCUGAGAGGGUGAUCGGCCACAUUGGGACUGAGACACGGCCCAAACUCCUACGGGAGGCAGCAGUAGGGAAUCUUCGGCAAUGGACGAAAGUCUGACCGAGCAACGCCGCGUGAGUGAAGAAGGUUUUCGGAUCGUAAAACUCUGUUGUUAGAGAAGAACGACGAGGAGAGUGGAAAGCUCCUCGUGUGACGGUAUCUAACCAGAAAGGGACGGCUAACUACGUGCCAGCAGCCGCGGUAAUACGUAGGUCCCGAGCGUUGUCCGGAUUUAUUGGGCGUAAAGCGAGCGCAGGUGGUUUAUUAAGUCUGGUGUAAAAGGCAGUGGCUCAACCAUUGUAUGCAUUGGAAACUGGUAGACUUGAGUGCAGGAGAGGAGAGUGGAAUUCCAUGUGUAGCGGUGAAAUGCGUAGAUAUAUGGAGGAACACCGGUGGCGAAAGCGGCUCUCUGGCCUGUAACUGACACUGAGGCUCGAAAGCGUGGGGAGCAAACAGGAUUAGAUACCCUGGUAGUCCACGCCGUAAACGAUGAGUGCUAGAU
rnacentral:rRNA from 1 species